rnacentral:sRNA from 1 species
CGUCCCGGCUCACGCGUUCCCCCGCCCGCCCCCGCUCGUGCAGCCCCUGCCAGAGACACCCAGGAGCAGGAUGUCCUUCCAGGGCAAGAAAAGCAUCCCCCGGAUCACGAGUGACCGCCUUCUCAUCAGAGGUGGGAGGAUCGUGAAUGACGACCAGUCCUUUUACGCUGACGUGCACGUGGAAGACGGCUUGGUAAACACUUAGUACGGUGCCUGGCUCACAGCAGGUGCUUCCUAAAUACUGGUGCGCACACCUAUUAGUGCACCUGCUUCUGUUUGUCAAGCCGCUCCCUCCUCUAGUCAAAAAAGUAGCAACCAGGGACCUGAGUGGAAAACCACAGGGCGUGGCGUCUGCGUGAGGCUAGACCCUGCAGUGACCGUCCUGAGCUGCGCUGAGGGAUGCUUUGCUCCCUGGCACUCCCGAGGAGCUAGUCCA